UGUUUGUUUUUGUUUGGUUUCUUCCAUUUUGCUUCAUGUACGAAAUUUCUUAAUUCACAGAAAACUGAAGAACUCUUAUUGUCGAUGAAAUUUUUGAACCUAUUUAAUGCAUUGUUGGUCCUCCUUUUUUCAGACACCCUCACCAAGCGCUGCCCUAGUAAAAAUCCAUGUUUUUCUCCAACUCCAAUUGGAACUCCAUCUGUCACCAAAACCAGAACAAACCAUGUUGCGUGCCGAAGAUUGAAAAUUCAGAAGAAGCUGGCUGAAUUGGAAGAACUCAAUAAGUUUUCUUGACUCAAUAUCAAAGCAGGGCAGCAGCAGAUAAUGUCAAAGCAGCAGGUUGCCAGUUAUCCUGUAGGAAUAACAACUUGAACAGCUUGAGAAACUGGUUGCCACUUGCGAAGCAGAGUUAGGAGCCCUCAUACUAAAAUGUUCAGAACUAUCCAAGUCUCCCAAAAAUAUGGAUGCUCUCAAAGAAGCUAUGCUAAAGAAAAGCUUCUGAUAGAUAUGCUCAAAACGUUGAAAAGAAAACAACCUGUUUCUUCAGCACUACCCCAACAUUCACAUCGAGCAAGCCAGUGGUUGCAUCAACAGCAGUUGCACCCCAUGCCUCGAGUUCCCUGGCAACAGAACUCAGUAGCUCUAAUCCUAAAUCUCUGGCUGUCCCUGUUCCUAGCAAUUAGCAGCUUCAUCUGGUCAUAGGCAAGAGAGCGAUGAAUGUGGAUGAAGUUACCUCAAUCUCUUGUGACUCCACCUCGCUUUCAAAGCAGCAAUCAGCCCGAGCAAAGCCUGUGGCGCACCUCACAAGCCCCUCGUGUCGCAAUUAGCCCUGCUAGUUCUCUUCUCAUAAAUGCUGCUCAACGUGUGAGGGACCCGCGUCUGAGGAAGUUAAAGGAUAGCAAAUCGGGAGGAACGUCUCCUCCGGUUUCGUCUCCUGUAUCCUCACCUGCACGCGUGACCGCUGAAAGCAACUGCGCUAUCAACAAUGGUGCCCCCUCCAGUCCAAGGAAAGGGACAGUGGACGCCGGGAAGGAAGAGCCGAGGCACUGA
rnacentral:lncRNA from 1 species